AUACGUAGGGUGCGAGCGUUGUCCGGAAUUACUGGGCGUAAAGAGCUCGUAGGUGGUUUGUCGCGUCGUCUGUGAAAUUCCGGGGCUUAACUCCGGGCGUGCAGGCGAUACGGGCAUAACUUGAGUACUGUAGGGGAGACUGGAAUUCCUGGUGUAGCGGUGAAAUGCGCAGAUAUCAGGAGGAACACCGGUGGCGAAGGCGGGUCUCUGGGCAGUAACUGACGCUGAGGAGCGAAAGCAUGGGUAGCGAACAGGAUUAGAUACCCUGGUAGUCCAUGCCGUAAACGGUGGGCGCUAGGUGUAGGGGUCUUCCACGACUUCUGUGCCGUAGCUAACGCAUUAAGCGCCCCGCCCGGGGAGUACGGCCGCAAGGCUAAAACUCAAAUGAAUUGAC
rnacentral:rRNA from 1 species